UACGUAGGGUGCAAGCGUUGUCCGGAUUUAUUGGGCGUAAAGAGCGUGUAGGCGGCCAAGCAGGUCCGCUGUGAAAACUCGAGGCUCAACCUCGAGACGUCGGUGGAAACCGUUUGGCUAGAGUCCGGAAGAGGAGAGUGGAAUUCCCGGUGUAGCGGUGAAAUGCGCAGAUAUCGGGAAGAACACCCGUGGCGAAAGCGGCGCACUGGACCAUAACUGACGCUGAGGCGCGAAAGCUAGGGGAGCAAACAGG
rnacentral:rRNA from 1 species